AGCCGACCUUGAAAUACCACCCUUUAAUGUUUGAUGUUCUAACGUGGACCCGUAAUCCGGGUUGCGGACAGUGUCUGGUGGGUAGUUUGACUGGGGCGGUCUCCUCCUAAAGAGUAACGGAGGAGCACGAAGGUUGGCUAAUCCUGGUCGGACAUCAGGAGGUUAGUGCAAUGGCAUAAGCCAGCUUGACUGCGAGCGUGACGGCGCGAGCAGGUGCGAAAGCAGGUCAUAGUGAUCCGGUGGUUCUGAAUGGAAGGGCCAUCGCUCAACGGAUAAAAGGUACUCCGGGGAUAACAGGCUGAUACCGCCCAAGAGUUCAUAUCGACGGCGGUGUUUGGCACCUCGAUGUCGGCUCAUCACAUCCUGGGGCUGAAGUAGGUCCCAAGGGUAUGGCUGUUCGCCAUUUAAAGUGGUACGCGAGCUGGGUUUAGAACGUCGUGAGACAGUUCGGUCCCUAUCUGCCGUGGGCGCUGGAGAAUUGAGGGGGGCUGCUCC
rnacentral:rRNA from 1 species